UACGGAGGGGGCUAGCGUUGUUCGGAAUUACUGGGCGUAAAGCGCACGUAGGCGGCUUUGUAAGUUAGAGGUGAAAGCCCGGGGCUCAACUCCGGAAUUGCCUUUAAGACUGCAUCGCUAGAAUUGUGGAGAGGUAAGUGGAAUUCCGAGUGUAGAGGUGAAAUUCGUAGAUAUUCGGAAGAACACCAGUGGCGAAGGCG
rnacentral:rRNA from 1 species